rnacentral:rRNA from 1 species
GACGUAGGGUCCGAGCGUUGUCCGGAAUACUGGGCGUAAAGCGCGCGCAGGCGGUUGGUCGCAUCGGCGGUGAAAGCCCCCCGCUCAACGGGGGAGGGUCCGUCGAGAUGGGCCGACUGGAGGCAGGGAGAGGUCAGUGGAAUUCCGGGUGUAGUGGUGAAAUGCGUAGAGAUCCGGAGGAACACCAGUGGCGAAGGCGGCUGACUGGACCUGACCUGACGCUGAGGCGCGAAGGCGUGGGGAGCGAACGGG